CCUACGGGUGGCAGCAGUAGGGAAUCUUUCACAAUGGGCGAAAGCCUGAUGGAGCAACGCCGCGUGCAGGAUGAAGGCCUUCGGGUUGUAAACUGCUUUUAUAAGCGAGAAAUAUGAUGGUAACUUAUGAAUAAGGCUCGGCUAACUCCGUGCCAGCAGCCGCGGUCAUACGUAGGAUCCGAGCAUUAUCCGGAGUGACUGGGUGUAAAGAGUUGCGUAGGUGGCAUAAUAAGUAGUUAGUGAAAUCUGGUGGCUCAACCAUUCAGACUAUUAGCUAAACUGUUAAGCUCGAGACCGUUAGGGGUAACUGGAAUUUCUAGUGUAGGAGUGAAAUCCGUAGAUAUUAGAAGGAACACCAAUAGCGUAGGCAGGUUGCUGGGACGGGUCUGACACUAAGGCACGAAAGCGUAGGGAGCAAACGGGAUUAGAUACCCGAGUAGUC
rnacentral:rRNA from 1 species